rnacentral:rRNA from 1 species
CCUACGGGAGGCAGCAGUGGGGAAUAUUGCACAAUGGGGGAAACCCUGAUGCAGCGACGCCGCGUGAGUGAAGAAGUAAUUCGUUAUGUAAAGCUCUAUCAGCAGGGAAGAAAAUGACGGUACCUGAGUAAGAAGCACCGGCUAACGACGUGCCAGCAGCCGCGGUAAUACGUAGGGGGCAAGCGUUAUCCGGAUGUACUGGGUGUAAAGGGAGCGUAGACGGCAGUGCAAGUCUGGAGUGAAAGGCGGGGGCUCAACCCCCGGACUGCUCUGGAAAAUGUCCGGCUGGAGUGCAGGAGAGGUAAGUGGAAUGCCUAGUGUAGCGGUGAAAUGCGUAGAUAUUAGGAGGAACACCAGUGGCGAAGGCGGCUUACUGGACUGUAACUGACGUUGAGGCUCGAAAGCGUGGGUAGCAAACAGGAUUAGAUACCCCAGUAGUC